rnacentral:rRNA from 1 species
GACGAACGCUGGCGGCGUGCUUAACACAUGCAAGUCGAACGGAAAGGCCCUGCUUUUGUGGGGUGCUCGAGUGGCGAACGGGUGAGUAACACGUGAGUAACCUGCCCUUGACUUUGGGAUAACUUCAGGAAACUGGGGCUAAUACCGGAUAGGAGCUCCUGCUGCAUGGUGGGGGUUGGAAAGUUUCGGCGGUUGGGGAUGGACUCGCGGCUUAUCAGCUUGUUGGUGGGGUAGUGGCUUACCAAGGCUUUGACGGGUAGCCGGCCUGAGAGGGUGACCGGCCACAUUGGGAUUGAGAUACGGCCCAGACUCCUACGGGAGGCAGCAGUGGGGAAUAUUGCACAAUGGGCGGAGGCCUGAUGCAGCAACGCCGCGUGCGGGAUGACGGCCUUCGGGUUGUAAACCGCUUUCGCCUGUGACGAAGCGUGAGUGACGGUAAUGGGUAAAGAAGCACCGGCUAACUACGUG